rnacentral:lncRNA from 1 species
UAACAGAAGUAAUACAUUCUUCUUUCUGGUUUACAGCAUCACCAUACCAUGUCGAAGAGGGGAGGGGGGCUGAAGAAAACUUGCCCUGCAUGUAAAGAGAAGAUUUUUAAUGGAUUUAAAAUGUGCCCUAACUGCAAGGCCCCACAGCCUGAAAAUCUUAGAUUAUAAAAAAAAAAAUCGAAAAAUUUGAACAAAAAAAGGACAUAUGGGUAGCGAACAACAAAAGAAAUCAGGUGAUCUCCCACUUACUGGAUGAUGCAGUCAUUUUGAUAGAGAAGCUACACGCAGUUGGCUGGAGGCCUUUGCUCCUGCUUGAAUACCCCCACAAGGAGGCAAAACUGAUUUUGCCUAAAGAUCUGGCGUUGGGCACAAAUGCACAAACGUGCGUGAAAAACAUCCAUGAGAUCUUUAAAAUUAUGGUUGAAGGAAAUACAAACCAGGCAACAGAAAGUAGCCAGGAACCUGAGGAAGCUACUGUCAUUCUGCAUUUAGAGACUUUGGUCAACCCUUCAACAGCAGAACAAGAUUCGACAGCUGCAGCGUGUCUGGACCAGGGGGCUGGGACUAUGGACGGUCCAGAAUGCGAUCUCAGCCUUCUUCCUACAGGACAAGGGACAAGACGAAUUCGGAGGAAGAAAGUUGGAACUAAACAGAAAGAUUGUCCCCACAACAACUGGGAGGUGCACCCAUACAAGGGCAUAAUCCGGACAAGGCAGAGAAAGGGAAAGACUGAACACCUGUAUGAUUGGAUGCCCUGCGAGCUAUGUGGGAAAACGUGGCCUCCAACCUGGGAGGCUGCUUGAUACUUUCAGACACGCAUUUACUCACUCCAGCUCUGCCAAAUCCUAACAUGAUCCUCAUGUUCAAAGAGGGCCGUGUCUCUAUCUCACAUGUUCUCUCUUGCUCUCAGAAAGCUUUCAGACACACACACUCAUACUGACACAAAUACAGUGUUGAAUUUUGAUGUUUAUUUUAACUUGUUAAGUAUGUCUUAUUUUAAUAAAGAUUUGUCUUUACUAAGCUUUCCCAUUAGUUUGUCAUGUCUGUAACAUCACUCAAGUGAUAUCAAGUAGAGUUUGUUGAGUUGUCUUUGUAAUUGUAUGAUGUAAGUAAUAAAGACUUGAAU